AGCCGGGUCCUGCGCAACAGGCGGCCGUAAACCCCGUCAGGCCCGGAAGGGAGCAGCGGUAGCGGUUUGAAUGUGUGCCGCGGGGGUGCCCGGCUGUC
rnacentral:SRP_RNA from 1 species